CAGUAGCCGCGGUAAAACGAAGGGGGCUAGCGUUGUUCGGAAUUACUGGGCUUAAAGCGCGUGUAGGCGGGCCGCCACGUCGGUUGCUGAAAUCCCCCGGCUCAACCGGGGAAGUGGCAUCGAUACGAGCGGCCUUGAGGGGGGUAGGGGGAUCUGGAACUUCCGGUGGAGCGGUGAAAUGCGUUGAGAUCGGAAGGAACGCCCGUGGCGAAAGCGAGGUCCUGGACCCUUUCUGACGCUGAGACGCGAAAGCCAGGGGAGCGAACGGGAUUAGAUACCCCCGUAGUCCCUGUCUCUUAUA
rnacentral:rRNA from 1 species